ACGCCGCGUGAGCGAAGAAGUAUUUCGGUAUGUAAAGCUCUAUCAGCAGGGAAGAAAUGACGGUACCUGACUAAGAAGCACCGGCUAAAUACGUGCCAGCAGCCGCGGUAAUACGUAUGGUGCAAGCGUUAUCCGGAUUUACUGGGUGUAAAGGGAGCGCAGGCGGUACGGCAAGUCUGAUGUGAAAUCCCGGGGCUCAACCCCGGUACUGCAUUGGAAACUGUCGGACUAGAGUGUCGGAGGGGUAAGUGGAAUUCCUAGUGUAGCGGUGAAAUGCGUAGAUAUUAGGAGG
rnacentral:rRNA from 1 species